rnacentral:rRNA from 1 species
UACGGAGGGUCCAAGCGUUGUCCGGAAUCACUGGGCGUAAAGCGCGCGCAGGCGGCGAUCUACGUCUGGGGUGAAAGCCCGGAGCUCAACUCCGGGACUGCCUUGGAUACGGGAUCGCUUGAGGAUUGGAGAGGCAAGGGGAAUUCCACGUGUAGCGGUGAAAUGCGUAGAUAUGUGGAGGAACACCGAUGGCGAAGGCAGCCUCCUGGGCCAGCACUGACGCUCAUGCACGAAAGCGUGGGGAGCAAACAGG